rnacentral:rRNA from 1 species
UGGGGAAUUUUGGACAAUGGGCGAAAGCCUGAUCCAGCCAUGCCGCGUGCAGGAUGAAGGCCUUCGGGUUGUAAACUGCUUUUGUACGGAACGAAAAGACUCUGGUUAAUACCUGGGGUCCAUGACGGUACCGUAAGAAUAGGCACCGGCUAACUACGUGCCAGCAGCCGCGGUAAUACGUAGGGUGCGAGCGUUAAUCGGAAUUACUGGGCGUAAAGCGUGCGCAGGCGGUUAUGUAAGACAGAUGUGAAAUCCCCGGGCUCAACCUGGGAACUGCGUUUGUGACUGCAUAGCUGGAGUGCGGCAGAGGGGGAUGGAAUUCCGCGUGUAGCAGUGAAAUGCGUAGAUAUGCGGAGGAACACCGAUGGCGAAGGCAAUCCCCUGGGCCUGCACUGGCGCUCAUGCACGAAAGCGUGGGGAGCAAACA